rnacentral:tRNA from 1 species
AGGAGCUUAGGUUAAUUAUCAGACCAAGGGCCUUCAAAGCCCUAAGUAAAUGCUACUCAUUUAGCUCCUG